rnacentral:rRNA from 1 species
UGUUGGCCUAACACAUGCAGUCGAGCGGAUGAAGGGAGCUUGCUCCUGGAUUCAGCGGCGGACGGGUGAGUAAUGCCUAGGAAUCUGCCUGGUAGUGGGGGAUAACGUCCGGAAACGGGCGCUAAUACCGCAUACGUCCUGAGGGAGAAAGUGGGGGAUCUUCGGACCUCACGCUAUCAGAUGAGCCUAGGUCGGAUUAGCUAGUUGGUGGGGUAAAGGCCUACCAAGGCGACGAUCCGUAACUGGUCUGAGAGGAUGAUCAGUCACACUGGAACUGAGACACGGUCCAGACUCCUACGGGAGGCAGCAGUGGGGAAUAUUGGACAAUGGGCGAAAGCCUGAUCCAGCCAUGCCGCGUGUGUGAAGAAGGUCUUCGGAUUGUAAAGCACUUUAAGUUGGGAGGAAGGGCAGUAAGUUAAUACCUUGCUGUUUUGACGUUACCAACAGAAUAAGCACCGGCUAACUUCGUGCCAGCAGCCGCGGUAAUACGAAGGGUGCAAGCGUUAAUCGGAAUUACUGGGCGUAAAGCGCGCGUAGGUGGUUCAGCAAGUUGGAUGUGAAAUCCCCGGGCUCAACCUGGGAACUGCAUCCAAAACUACUGAGCUAGAGUACGGUAGAGGGUGGUGGAAUUUCCUGUGUAGCGGUGAAAUGCGUAGAUAUAGGAAGGAACACCAGUGGCGAAGGCGACCACCUGGACUGAUACUGACACUGAGGUGCGAAAGCGUGGGGAGCAAACAGGAUUAGAUACCCUGGUAGUCCACGCCGUAAACGAUGUCGACUAGCCGUUGGGAUCCUUGAGAUCUUAGUGGCGCAGCUAACGCGAUAAGUCGACCGCCUGGGGAGUACGGCCGCAAGGUUAAAACUCAAAUGAAUUGACGGGGGCCCGCACAAGCGGUGGAGCAUGGUGGUUUAAUUCGAAGCAACGCGAAGAACCUUACCUGGCCUUGACAUGCUGAGACUUUCAGAGAAUGGAUUGUGCCUUCGGGACUCAGACACAGUGCUGCAUGCUGUCGUCAGCUCGUGUCGUGAGAAUGUUUGGGUAGUCCCGUACGAGCGCACCCUUGUCUUAGUACAGCACUCGGUGGCACUCUAGGAACUGCGUGACAACGGAGAAAAGUGGGGAUGACGUCAGUCAUCAUGCUACGCAGCUACACUGCUCAUGUCGUUACAAGUCAGCGAGUGACCUAUCCUAACGAUGAAUUCGAAUCGGAUUCGGCAUCUGAAUG